AGUACAAGCUUCAGCCUGAUCUCAAAUUUUCGUGUGUAUUUUUAAUAUGGAUCGUUCGAUCGGAUGAAUUUAAAAAACGGGAAUUCGCUGGAGCCAUCCAUUCUUUUUACUUCUUCGUUCUAAAAUCUGUAUCGAGAAACAAAAAUCAUUACUACAAUUUUCAAUUUAGGUGUAAACAGAAUGUUUCACCUGAUUAUGUUACUAACUUAGGAUUUACACUUCGAUUAGAGUUUCAAUGAUUCACAGAUUCACAAUUUUGGGGUUUUGAAGAAAGAUGAAAUCCCAUCAGAGCUUCAGCCUUCCAAUGAGUAAUUUGUUAUCGCUCUCUCUUAUUCAUCUUAAGAAGAAGUUUGUAAUGGAAGUAGCAGUAGACAAAAUCAAACACUCCACAUCAAUUUCAAUCUCCAUCAAACCUAAAUUGACUGGAUUCAACAUACUCUCCAAAUCAGAGUUCUUCAAAAAGUGAAUCCAUGAUGGAAAAAGAUCAGCAGCGUUCUUGCAAGAGAGAGACAUGACAAGCCAUGGUGACAAACACAAAAUAGCAGCAGUGGAAAAGUUGUGCAGGACGACGAGUUUCCUUUUCAAGUGAACAUUUAUCCCUAGGCACAAGUGGAGGCUCUGUUUAGCAACGGGUGGUGCAAGUUUAUUAAAGUAGAAAUCAAGAUUGCGGAUUACAUCUAACCAAAAAAAUUGGUUGUCAUAUGAAUUCCAUAAAUUCUACGGGAGAUUAUCGAAGUUGCAUCUUAUUUUAAUUUGAAACUGCGUCUUAUGGCUUCAUUACUUUUCCAAUUUGAACUGUGUUAAUUGAUGAAAUGAUUUAUGGAUACAUUUCUGAAUGAAAAAUUAUCGACUAGAAAGGGAAAGGGAUGGCAGGCGCAUCGCACAUGCGUGUUAUACUAGUUAGUAAAAAAAAAUUACUUCAUGAAUCUUUGAAGAGUCAAAUAAAAAUAUCAAAUUAAGACUUGGAGCCAACAAGAUUUGAUUCUUCUGGCAUCCGUAUAUCCCAUUCCAGCGGAGUUCAUUUGCAAUUAGCUUUACUAGUUCCGGGGCAUAACAUUCAUUACAUAAAUUAUAGUUACCUCAUCCAUAAAACGGUGUUCGUACACUGAUGUGCACUAAUCAAACACUAACAUUACGUAGUCAUGAGUCAUCAAUAAAUUCAGUUACCGGCUGUAACCUAUGUAAUUGUACUAUUAAUCUCUCUAAUAUGAUGGUUCUUCUUCUUGUCUCUAUAUCUCCUUCCUUCAUCCCUGAUUCUCCUCAAUCACGUUAUCAUGGACGAAAGUUACCGCAGAGCUAGAUUGGACUAAUGUUGAAAUCGGGAAUCAAAUCAGCUAUGUUGGAUCUAAUUAUUUUUACAUAUAUUUUUUCUUCUUCUUUUCCAAUAUUUAUCUACGAUCCUGGGAUUUGAUUUUUGAUUGUCAAAUAUAUAUGUCACUAUGUACAGAUUAAUUAAAUAUGCCUGGGAUUUGAUUUUUGAUCUCCAAUAUAUGUCACUGUGUAUAGAUUAAUUAAAUCUUCCGUGUAAUUUGAUUCGUGAAUAGAUAGAGUUUAAAUUAAUUAAAUCUUACGUGUGAUUUGAUUUGUGAAUAGAUACGGUUUGUAAUAUUUGAGAAUAGAUACAGUUUAUAAUAUCGAUGCACUAAUCCCUUCAAAAAAAAA